UUGAAAAAACAUAAUAAAGAUUGGAAUGAAGGAAAAUAAAUGAAUAGUUUGUCACAUUGAAGAUAAAACGCAUAUUGCUACAUUAAGCGUAGUAACAUCAAAAAUAAGUGGUGUCACUAUAAAUAAACUACUACGUCACAAGAUCCUCGUUGCUGCUAACGACUGAGAGAAAAAGAAAACACCGGAUUGAAACGCCACCUCUAUCAUGUAGAUCGCCUUGAGGAGCUCCAUGUUAGUUUGUGUUUUCUUUUGGCACGACAACUUCGUGACCGUGGCGAAUAAUUUUUACUAUUCCACAAUAUCGAUACAGGAUUUACGAUUAAAGAAACGGAGUACCUUAAUCGUGUAACAAAGGAAUUUGAUAAAAGCACAAGGACUUUGAAAUUCUUGUUCAUCAUUGAAGAAACUAAUUCGAUUGAUUCGACGAUUGUUUAGAUUUUUUACGAUUGUUCCCCAGGAUAACAAAGUGCUAACCUCACCCUUCCAGAGACACUUAAUUUUUAUGACAUACAUAAUACAUGUAAACUUUCGAUUCCAAAUAAUCAAAAUACAGCAUGUAAACAUAUCUGUGUUAUUUCUCAACAUUUUUUAACAAGUACCUAAAAACGAGGCUUCUUAAUGCAUCAGGC